ensembl:lncRNA
AUCCUCUGUGUAUUUGCACGGCAUCACCGGGAAACCUGUUAGAAAUGCAGAGUCUCAGGACUCCGCUCAGAUCUCCUGAAGCAGAAUCUGCAUUCCCACCAGAUUCCCAGGACAUAGGUGUGCACAGGAAGGUUUGGGAAGCCCUGGGCUACGGGGCAUCUUUUUCAGUGGCUACCCUGGCUCUUGUAGGGGAGGAAAAAGUUUUCUUCUACUGUCUUAGGGUCCCUGGGUGGAUCUGAAAAUUAAACUGACAAAAGACAGAUUAACAGAAGAAAAGCAUACAAAUCUAUUUAAGAUACAUUUUAUGUGAAAUGCAAGUCUUCAUUAAAAAUUGAAGGUCUGAAGAAACGGUUAGACCCGAGUAUUUUCUGCUGGGUUUGAUGAAGGGGAGACGGUCGUGGAGGAAUGUGAAAGGUCAAGGCCUACGAGUCACACCCUUUUUUAUCAAAGACAAUCAAAGGAAGACUAAUUUGUUUGCAAAAUGAGUCUAAUCUCAUUAAAUGUGGUCUGAUUAUCUACAUAAAUGCAGCAAGAAUAGCAACUGACCAUCUAGGUACCUUGAGUUUGCUUUGCUGGAACUUUUCAUAAGGAAUCUCAGAUUGGACUUUUAAAAGCCUCUUGAGGCUAGGAAGCCAAGCCAAGGAUUCACCAUCAGACUUGCCUAGGAUAUCUACAGAUUUGGGUGAGUUCCUCUCUUCUCGAGGUCCCCCAAAUAUCCCAAGCUUCCUGGGCCUAACAGGAAGUGACCUUCCUUACACACCUCACCAGUGAGCAAGGUACUGGGCUGGUUUUCCAAGGAGAUUUACUGGCUCCAUGAAAUCAACCUCAGUUCCUUGAAGCUGUCUGGUCAUACCUGAUUCCAUGCAUGUCUGGUGUCAGCAGUGAUGCUAUUGGCUAGGAGCCCCUGAGGCACACAUCUGGGCUUGUACCACUCGUGUGGGGCCUCCACAGACAUUUCCCCGACUGGAGGCCGUGCUGUGGCUGGACUGACUCUUGUCUGUAGAAUGACGGCAGGAUGGACUUCAGCAACGAGCAUCAAGGAAUUUUGAAGAAACAAGGUUUAUUACUCACAGAUCCUGGAGGAGACACGGGCAUGCCUGAGGAUCACACAGUGACCCCUGGUUGUGGGGAGAGGGUGAACGCAUGUGGACUAAUCUCUGCCUUUAUUAGGGUCCAAGGGUGGGGUGUCCAGGGAUUCAUGGGUUCACUCUGUAUCAGUGAAUUUAAGACAUAAGAGUGGGAAUUAGGGCACAGGAAGGGAGAAUUGUCAGUUAUUGAGGUCACCCAGAGCUUUCUGAAGGGGAACUGCGUGGCUGGGGCAGCUGGUUCCUUAUCUAGCUGUUUAUCACACUAGUAAGUGUGUCAUAUAGCAGCAAUGUGUUUGUUCGAGAUGGAUGUCUUUGAAAUGGAUGCUUCUGCACUUACAUUACAAUGGGCGUUCUCAAAUAUGACAUUACACUGAAAGCCCUGGUAACAUAACCAAGGUUUCCACUUGUGUCCUGUUACAAAAAGAAUGGAUUCUUAUUGAAUUUAUGCAAACAACAGCAUUCCCAUGAAAGUAGAACAAUCACUAAGAGUUUCUGAGAUCUGGAGGGAUCAGGUAGGGAGAAAAGAUAAAUGCUUCGGUUCUGUUUACAAAGGCAUAAUUCACCAAAUUGCCAUAAUUUAUAGUUUAGGAGAAAAAGAUUUCCUUAAAUACGGAAAAACAAAACAUUAAAGAACCAGCAGUUUCAAACAGAAAAGCACUACGAAUGAUAAUCAUUCUUCCUCAGCCCACUCAGUCCCGUGUAAUUAAUUCUUGUUCUGUCUGAUCUUGGAUUUGCAGUUUUAUGAAUCCAUCAGCUUCUCAUUAGUUCUGGCAAUUGGUACCCAGACCAGUGAUAUGAUCUUAAAGUUAUUUAAGCAAUGUCAUCAAAAGUGUAUGCCUCCAGGCUACCUGCCCUUUCCACAAGUCUCAGAGAUGGUCCUUUGUUGUUGAAGAUGGGCAUGUAGUUGAUUGCAAGAACAUUCAAGAAAACACCAGAGUAAAAAAUAACUGUCUGUGAGUGACAAGGGGAUUAAAAUGGCUGUAGGUAAAGAUGCAAUGAGAGUUUGAUAAGGAAAUGUGGUUGUCCCUCUGACAUAGAGCAUUUUGAGAUAACUGGAAUAAUUGAGGACAUUAUGCCGGGACACACCAUGGACAGAAAGGACAUUGAUAAAUUUCUAGGAAUUUCAUAGAAUUUCUGAAACAAUAACAUUUUACCCAUACAAAGAUAACCUAAGAAAGAUUAAGCACCACUUUUUAUUUGAGAAUGUUUCCCAUGCAAUUUAAUAUAGCGAAUAAACCUAGUUAGUUUAACAUCUCUCUUUUUACAAGGUGAGAGAAGAAAUACUUUGAGAUUUUCCAGGGACCCUCUGGGAAAUUUCAGAGUCUCAAGGUCAAGAUUUAAUUUACAAUUUGACUUUGGGAAAUUGUCAAAAAUGUCAAAAAAUUUAAACUUUUGAUUGAAUUGGACCACAGAUCACUAUGAAAUAAUACUUAUCUAUUUAACCAAAGUGACGUUAAAAGAUUUCAAAAGUAAAUAUAGGAGAUAAUACGAUUGUUACAAAAAAACAAUCUUAGCGCUUUCACUAUUGAGAAGACUAAGUUUUCUUUAAUAACCAAAGACAUGAUCAAGACGACAUGGAGUACACAGGAUCUUUGUUUCCUACGUGGAUUACUCAAAAGGCAAAAAACCCUUUCAUGGUUUCUUAUUAACAGUCUGAUAAUCCAAGAAGACUUUGUCCUGCUAACAGAGGAAAAAAACAAGCUCUAGUUUUGCAUCAGGACACUGUUGGACUCAUUUAAAAACAUAUCUUA